ensembl:lncRNA
CCCGGAGGCCCCAGAUCCCUCCCUACACCCUAGGCAGGGGGCCUGAAUCUCAGGGGUGGCAGUCAGACUCGGGGGACGGGGCAGAGACCUGGCAGAGGCUCAGUCCAGCACCUUUAUUCAAGCUCCACGUGGUCCAGCUCUGAGGCACAUGCUGUCCAUACCCACGCACAUCCACCAUUGACCACUGGAUACACCUGCAUCCCACCAGGAUGCCACGGCGGCCCCACACCUCCCCCGGUGUCCAGCACGGGGCCGUGCCCUUCCAAUGCACAGCAUUUCCCCCAGCCCACCCCACCCCUGCUUUAACAUAAAGCAUCCAGUUCUUUCCCAACUUGGAAGAAGCAGAGGUCCAGACGCAGGGCGUGGCUGUGCUGAUCAGGCAGAAGUGGCUGCCCCAGCUCCCUCUGCCAUGGACAAUCUUGACCAUUUACAGCAGCUGUGACAUACAAAACCCUUGCCCUCAGGACCCCUCCUUCAGGAGGAAGACCUGGGGCACUGCUGCCGGCUGAGGGGCCCCACCAGCUGGCAGGCUGGGCUGCUCAGCCUGGGCUCUAGUGCCAGACAGCAAAUAGGAGGGGAAACAAAAUUCCCUACUGCAGGAGGAGCGCUGCGCCCCGCCAGCCCCAGCCCUCUCCUCUCCGUCCAAGGGGUCUGGCAACUGCCACUGGGGCCCUUGUGGCCAGGGGCGCAGGGGGCGCAGGGGGCGCGCUGCUUUCAGGCCGCGGCAGGGAUCUCUUCUGCAUGUCGCUGUUCAGCUCAGCCAGGGUGUGCAUCCGCACGUGGUGCAGGGAGAGGACGGGAAGGCUUCUCGGAGGCAGCGCGCCACGGCUUCCCUGGACUCAUCCGCGGUUUGCCGAGCCGCCGGGGGCUGCGGAGAGUGAGCCGAGCGGGUGAGCAGGCUGCGGAAGCGGGCACCCCUCAGGGCGCCCGCCCUGCCCUGCCUCAGGUGACACCCCCACCACCACUCCCUGCCAUUCCCCCCACCUCAGCCACCCCCACCGAGCCACAGCAGGCUCGGUGCUCACCGGGGAUGUUGCCACCUCCGUCUCCACGAUGUCACUUCCCCAGCUCGGAGCUGGGCGGGCGCCCCGAACUCCACAAACAGGGGGAAGAGCAGAGACCUGGUGAGGGGCGGCCGCCGGACCCUGCCAAGACCCGCGGGUGCGCCCUCGCGCUGCCGCCGCCCGGGAGCCGGACUGCCCUUUACUUCGAGAGUCGGCAGGGGGCUGCGCCUGGAGCCAGGCCCGCGGGGGCCAGAGCGCACGGCACGGACGGUGGCCGAAACGCCGAGGCGAGCGGCGGCGGUGCCUUUAUGCGGCGCGGGCGGUGGGGCCGUGGGCACGAGCGCUUUCCCACGCUCGCCAACCAAUCGGCAGCCAGGACCGGCCGAAGUGCAGGAGCCCCGGCACAGGACAAGCGUCCCCAGUGGCCACCGUCUUGUCACUUUGGAUCUCCAGAGCCAUGCCUGGUCCCCUUUCUGGGCCUCACCAUUUCUUCAUACCUGACUAGUCUUCCCGCCUGACCAUGAGCUUGCCCAGCCAAAGCACCUGCCAGGCCUGGCUAUACUUACUGGGUGACAAAAGUGGCUGCAGUGGCAGCCCAGGAUGUGGAAGCAACAUGGAGACACAUCGGGGAAGGGUGCUGACCACCAGGGUCGCAUAGAGGGAGGAAAGCGGGGCCCCCACCCCUGCAUUUCAUCUGAGAGCCCCCAGUGACCUGAGCAGGCGACGGGGGAGCUCCUUAAAGAUCAGCCAGGCCCACCCCUCAACAAUCAGGCGGCCCAGUGUUUCGUCGGUUCGAAUCCUGGGCGCGGACAUGGCACUGCUCAUCAAACCACGCUGAGGCAGCGUCCCACAUGCCACAACUAGAAGGACCCACAACGAAGAAUAUACAACUAUGUACCGGAGAGCUUUGGGGAGAAAAAGGAAAAAAUAAAAUCUUUAAAAAAACAAGCAAACAAACAAACCAAAAAAACCAUUCUUGGGAAGGCACAAGGUGGAGGGGCUGAGCUCGCCCCUGUUCUAAGCACCUGACAUCAACAUGUUUGAUCCCCUAAAAGCCAGCAGGUGGGCACUACCGUCAUCCCCGUUUUACAGAUAAGGAAACUGAGGCAUGGAUAGAGUUAAGUGCCCUGUCCUGGGUCACACAGUGGGGAGACACCCUCGGGGGGUCUGCUGGGAGUCCUCCCGCCCCCCACGCACAGCCAGGCCCUCGGCGUUCGCAGGGAUGGCGGCAGGGAUGGCGGAUGUGGCCAGGCGCGGGCUGUGGGUUCGUGCUGGCCGGCGGUUCCCACGCUGCGGCGGCGGCCAUGGAAGCGUGCCUGGGCCUGGGGCAUUAGUGCCGGGUCUGCCUCUGAAUGAAUGAGGGCGGCCGCGGGGGGCGAGGGGGGGCAACUCCCAAAAGACCAUCUGGCUCUGCGUCAUAAUAGAGCAAUAAAGGGCUUGUCUGCCUUUCAGAGAUUGGGAACGGCCGCUCUCUGACACCACGGGGUUUAACCAGCUUGGGACAGCGACCCGGCCCUGCCCCCGGCCCCUCCUCCAGGGCCGCGCUUCCCCACCGCCCACCUCUGCCUGCCCCGGUGGCCACCGCCCUAGCCCUGGCUCUACACUGGGGGAACUGAGGCCCAGGAGGCUGGGGCUGGUCGAACCUGGGGUCUUUGCCAGGGCCACUCCGGGUCUGGAAUGCAGCUCAUUUGGGAACGUGGGCCUGCUUUGGUCCGCAACAUCUGGGGUCCCCAAGUCUGGCUCGGGGAACUUGGGGGCUGCAGUCUAUGGGCGACACCCUCGUGGAGGGCAGGAGACCCCAGAUUGAUGGAUACCCCGCCCACCCCCACCAUCAGGUCCCAGGGUGGAGCCUGGCCUUGGUCAGAUGAGAGAAGGCGGGGCCGAGGCCAGAAUCACCACCCCCUCCAGGUGGGGAUGCCAUCUUGCCCCAGGUCUCCUGUGAGUAAGAGGUGAGGCUGGAAGUCAACGCUGGGCGGCCGUCCAAGGGCAGCUUCUGAGGAAGGGUCCGAGUCCCCCGGAAUCAUGGAAUCUGACCGAGUCAGCAGGUUUGCGACCUGCCCCUUAGUGGCCUAGACCCCAGCCCAGCGGGCCUCUGAAAUGCACAUCUGUGGCCCCAGCCCAGGCCUGCCCCACGGGCACUCACAUACAGCCUUUCCUGAGCAUGCUUCCCAGCUCAGAGCCCCCACGGCUCCCCGUUGCAGAAGGAGAAGUUGGUGCAUGGACAGGGGUGCAUGACGGCCCUGUCCCCUAACUUGGUGGCCCUGACUCAGUGUACUGCCCAUAUUUUGGAUGAGAAUUUCAGGCAGCCCCGGGCGUCAGCCCCAGCAAUGGGGGCUCCUGGGUGGGGGCCAAGGGGCCCAAGUAGGGUGAACACUAUGCUUUUCUUAGUAACUCUCCAGUCCCCCUUUGGCCACCCUUAGUCACCUCCAGCAACCUGUGGCCAGUCUCUCCAUCGGGUGGUCUUGGCAGAAAAAGCCCAUCCUAUACAGGUAAACUGAGGCACAGAAAGGACCGGCAUACCUUCGACAGAAAGCCAAGGGCAGAGCCUGGCCCCCCCCAUUGCCUGCCCUCUGGGCCUCCCCAUGAUGAACACACUCAGGGAGGAACCUACAAGGGCCGAGCUGCUCCCCAGCCCUGCUCCCCAGCCCUGCACCCAGCCUUGCUCCCUAGCCUUGUUCCCCAGCCCUGCUCCCAGCCCUGCUCCCUGCUCUGGGCCCCCGCCCUGCGCCCAACCCUGCUCCCCAGCCCUGCUCCCCAGCCCUGCUCCCCAGCUCUGCACUCAGCCUUGCUCCCCAGCCCUGCACCCCAGUGCUGCUCCCCGGCCCUGCUCCCCUGCUCUGCACUCAGCCUUGUUCCCCAGGCCUGCAC